rnacentral:tRNA from 1 species
UGCCCCAUGGCUGAGUUGGUUACAGCGUCCGACUGUUAUUAUUGUGACAUCGGAAGGUCGUGAGUUCGAGCCUCACUGGGGCAG